UGCUCUAAAAACCUUCCAAAUUGUGUUUUCAUUUGGUUAUCGAGUUUUAUGUAAAGCUUUGUUAACGAGCUUCACCCAGCUAAUAUCAUUGAAUCGAGGCCCACAAGCAUAUAUUCUUGACGAUACGAAUCCUAUCUACUUUGAUAUAUGUAUCGUAACCUCCGUCAGAUCGUCUUCCCCUCCAUUCAUCUGACAAAGUAACUCACAUACAUCAAUGGUGAGCAAUCAAUUUCAUCCCACAUUCUCACAACCCGAAGGGAGUAUCUAUAGAUGUCCCCUAAAAUAUUUCCACUUUUCCAAUUUUAAGUAGGACGUUGCAAGGAGACAGUCGUAACAUGUAUUCUUCGAUAUUGAACGUUUAGAAAGCAUGUGAGCUUCUGGGUGUGGACCUGGUUUUUGUUGACGAAAAGUCGACGUUGAUCAAAGGGUCUAUUGGGUUUCAUAGACUGAACCCUUAGUUUCAAGCAACUGCUGACAUAUGAGUUAAGCUUAUUCCAUGUCACCAGAAGCAACAGCCACUUCAAGCUCACCAACUCACCUGUUGCCAUACACAUCAACGACCAGAACACGAUUGUUGAUAUGACGGAUACGACUGCUCUUAUCCCGACAGAGAAGUAUAGAUUUCGGAAAUAUAAACAGCUUAUGGUUUUGGCUAAUACGAACAUCGAUUUUUCGGACGUUUUUGGUGAUGCUUGUGGCAUCAAGAGAUUCAAGGCCACAUACAGUGACAAAAGUAGACAGCCGUAUGCGUUAGUGUGUUUGAUAUGGUUGCAAAUAAGCUUCAUCAUAAGUUCGAGACAUUGUGCGUGGAGCCUAAAGUCAUUGUUUCUACGGACAUAAACCCAAAAUUUGUUGGAGGGCCAUAGCGUUGUUGGAAAAGAAUGCGGGAGAGAAGUAAGAAAGCCACAUUGCAGCUGGUGGACGUAGAGUGCAAUUACCUUACUUUUGAUUUCUUUAUAAAGCUUCUCCAGCUCUGAGAAUGCCAAUUGUUUUCCUCAGUUCUGGUCAGUGGUUAUUUAGUUUUUGUGAGAUGAUCUACCCGGGAAGACAUCAUGCUGUAUCAUUUUAUUACAACAAGUCAACAACACAAAGUUUAAUCUGCUGCCUCUUUGUUUGUAUUCGCUUUUGACUAUUAACCUUUUUGCAUGUGCUCUGGCAUAUCAACGAUAUUUUUAAGUUAUGUAGAGAUCUUUGCUCUUUUCGGUUAUUAAAUUAUUUUAUUAGUUGCCAAACACCCCUUCUUCUUUUUUAUUCGAACUGAAAUUGACUAUAAAGAUAAUCUACUCAGUCUCUAGUGGAAGCCAUUUAUAAACAUCAAAACGUUUAGUUAUAAAUAAAACAGUAACAACUCAAAAAUGGCUUUGGAUAAGUGUUUGAUAAACACCAAUUACAUAUACUAAUUAAGAAGAUAAAAUAAGAAACCUAUUAAAUAUCAAAUUGAGGGAAUGCUUUGACGAAUCUAAUUUAAAAAAACAUAUGUAUUUUUCGAAAUCAUGAAAGCUUAGAGUGCUACUGCCUUCCCUAUAUCACUAUGAAGACAUUUCUCUAUCCAAGAUCAUGUUUUGAGAUGGACGCAUAUUCGAAAGUUAAAUGAUCAUUAUGGGUGAAACCAUAAUCUAUUCACAAUAUGAUAGCCUACAAUGAGAAAGCUACAAAUAUUUUUUUUAUUGGUCAAAAACAUGAUAUGACAAAGGAAAAUAUUUCCAAUUAUCAUAUAUAUAAUUUUUUUUUAGCAUUCGCGAAUAAUCCUCUUGUUUAGUAUAAAACAGAAUAAAAAAAAUACAGUCAGUUUAAUUUAAAUUUAUCUCUGAAUAAUAGGUCCACAAAAUUUCAAAGAUUCCAAAUUGUUUGGCCAUCAGUAAAUCUAUUUAAAACUGUAUGUAUACCAAAAUAAAAAUAGGCUGCUUAAAUAUGUAUAUAACUAGGCUGCAAGUGUUAAGCUAAGCCUAAGAGCAUGAUUAUUGGGGGUUAUUAAGAUGGGAUUCUUACCAGAAUAUAAGAGCCCGUCUCUUAAAUUUUAACUAAAAAUGCUAAGAACCCGUCUCUCGUCGGGAACCCAUAAACUUUGCCCUCUCCGGUGGAAUGGAUGCCAUCUCAAUCCGAUCGGACUCUCAAGCUCUCAUCACCAUCAUCAACCGACAAGAAAUGAAAUUAGAGAUAUUUGGCAUUCUACGGGAUAUCUACCUUCUUAUUCAUGCAUUUAAGACUGUCCAAAUUUAAUUGUCUCAUCGAUAUUUUCUUUUUUUUUUUUUUGAUAAGUAUGUGAAUUUUCAUUAACUUGUUAAUGACACAAGGAGAUUACAGGUUUUGAAGAACUCAAAUCCUAGAAAUCUAAUAGGCUAAUUAAAGCACAAAUGCUAAAGAAAGCCACAAAAAAAGGUAAAAAAGACUCUCUAGAGCAACAAAAGGUUUAAUCUUGAUCUCUAGAGAACAGACUAAAGCUUGGCAAUUGAACUUUUCAGAACAACCAUUCGGUUUCAGUAGAUCACUUCUUGGCCUUGAUACCGGAACCUGUAACAAGAGAGGAGAUCAAUAGAGUUCGCAACCGGAGAACAGUCGGAGGCACCGCAGACCGUCCCAAAGGCGACUGCGACAGGAGAACAGGCGAAGCAUGGUUGACCAAGCCGUGGUCCGGCCAUCACAUCCAUUACAGUCCACUCCAGACGAAGCUCACUCAGGAAAGGUGACUAAUCGAGCCCUGAGAAUCCAAACCGACACAAAGAGGCCAGUAGCUGAAGCACCGGUGAAAUACUGGCAGACGGAAGCGGAGG